CACGUAGGGCGCAAGCGUUGUCCGGAAUUAUUGGGCGUAAAGAGCUCGUAGGCGGUCUGUUGCGUCCGCUGUGAAAACUCGGGGCUUAACCCCGAGCCUGCAGUGGAUACGGGCAGACUAGAGGUAGGUAGGGGAGAAUGGAAUUCCCGGUGUAGCGGUGAAAUGCGCAGAUAUCGGGAGGAACACCGGUGGCGAAGGCGGUUCUCUGGGGCCUUACCUGACGCUGAGGAGCGAAAGCGUGGGGGAGCGAAACAGG
rnacentral:rRNA from 1 species